UCCUUCAAGGUGGAUUGAGGACCAAAAGAACAAUAGCAACACGAGUUUCUUGGGCGGAAGCAGUUGUCUGGGAGAGUUACAGCUCAUUCAGUCACAUGACUGUCAGGGCGGCCUGCCUGCUCGCAUUCCCUCCCACCUCCUCCCUCAGAAGCUCUAAGACGGUCUCAGAGACCUCAGGAACCCCAAUUUAUUCUCCAGCCUCUGUCCUGAUAGGAAGAGAAGAUGAUUUUUCUUGUGGGCUUUAGCCUUUUGCUUUUCUACAAGGGCGUGCUGUGCGACCAAGUGACCCAGAGCCCCCCGGACCAGACGGUGGCCAGUGGCAGUAAGAUUGUUCUCACUCCUAGACCCACCCCUAACUCUCAGUCUUGGAAAACCGACAUUGUCAAGAAGAUGGAUCUUGGAUUCAUGACUGUUCCAGAGUCAAGGCCUUCACAUCCCCCAGUACUGCUUUAGACACAGACAGCGUUUGGCAUAACAAGGGGUGAUGGGGGUGGCGUGAAGCCCUGAUGAGGUGCCGGGGAUUUACGCUAGAGUCAGCAUCAGAGUGAACAACUAUGGCUGGCGAUUGCCUAAAAACCAAUCAAUCUCUCUUUGAAUUUGUCUUCCCAAACUGCAAAGCCAAGCACUCAGGCAAAUCUCUCUAGGGACUUGGAUUCAGAAAGUCCAUAUGAGGUGGUUCAUAUAACUCUUCCCAUAGAAUCAACACGGACCAGGACAAUAAUAGUUUCUAAAGAGACACCUUUUUGUAUUCUCCACAUGUGGCUGUAGGAACAUGUUGAAACGCCGGUUUCAUCCGAGGGAGUGAGAGGCCAGCAGCUGGGGGUCACUUCUCCUGGUCCAGUCAACUUCCUGGUGUCCCUCCUGGGUCCCUGAGCAAAGAGGGGUGGCUUCCUGCAGUGUUCAUCCCCUGAGGCUUGGUAGCCAGGCUGAGGGUUUCCCAGGGAAAUGCUCUACAGUUUUUGUAUAGGUCUCUGUGGCUUUUGUAGCACUGUGGGUAUCCCUCCAAUCACAGUGCUACGGAGCUUUACAAAAACCUCCCCUGGUUUCACUCUGUGUGGCCUCUGAGCGCCGCUGGGGCCUGAUGUUUUCUCCAAGUCAAGCUCUGGCAAGCUGAAAGGGUUUUGGCUGCUAGGGCAGGGCAGGCUUGCCCAGUUGCUUCUGUCUUCUGCCCAGAAGCCUCUGCCAAGGCUUCUCUGCCUUGUUGGCCGGAUCGGCCCUGGAGUUUGCGACUAGAAUGGUCAUUCAGAAGUCAUCACAUCCGUUCCCAUCUGUGCUUUCGGGCCAGUCUCCUCUCAGAUGGUUUCCCAUAGAGGAGUUUGUUAGAUUUCUGGAUGUCUCAAGUGGAUUCUGCAUGCUGUGGGUUGGGCAGAAAGUGUCUGUGGUCAGUGGAAUUUCUCCUGUGACCUGCUAAGCCUCUGAUUCACCUCUGCCUGCCCCACUUUAUACCUGAAUAGUGUUAUAUAGUUUACAAAGGGCUGUCAUAUAAAUUUAAAAUUUCAUCCUCUCCAUUGACUCCCUGGUUGCUAAAUCCAGGGCCAGUAGCCCAUAUGGUGCUUUGUGUGAUGUUGAAAAGGCGACCGUGCUGGGCAAAUGCAGAGGCAGCCCCUCGAGUUCAAGCUUGGCAGACAGAUGGCACCUUUGUGUGCUUUAUAAAAGCUGUCCCUUUCUCCAGCUGAUGCAGCUCCGCACCGGGUCCUCGGCUUGGCUGGCAGAGCGCGAGCUGAAUUUUAGCCCUGCUUGUCCCCUCAGCUGAGUACCCUUGCGUAAGGCAUGGCCCAUGGAAUAAGCACGGCGACCCUGGCCCAAUUCAGUGGAUUCUUGUUAUUUAUAUUCUUGUCUGACCUCUAGUUUUUGACAAGUUAUUCCCUUUUCGAAAACUCCUCUGGGGCCCUCCAUACACUGGUCCCUGUUUGCCUGUGAGUUCUGUGUCUAUCACUGUGAAAACAAAGUGACAUUAUUAAAUGAUAACCAUUUAAGGAGAGUGUGCAUUUUACUGCUGUUGCUAUCAAAAGGGACCCAGAUUUUAAAAAGGUUUAUCUUCACACUCGCUCUAGAAGAUCUUAUGCAAAUCCACGGCUUGAUUAAGUCAUCACAAUUUUACUUACAAUCUUUGUGACAACUCCUUCCCACCCUACAUACAACUGCAUUCCUGUCCCAUAUAUUCCAAGCAACUGCAUUUCCAUAUACAGAGUCUAACAUUCUUUUGUUGAAGAAAAAAACAAAACCAAACAAUGCCCCCCUCCCCCCAGAAAACCAAAGAGCAAAUAGGAAAAAAGGAAAAGAAGAAAUGUUAUGCUCUCAGUAUUAAUGUAAUGGGAUGGCCUUGGAUAGAAAGCAAGGAAAUGUGGGUCUCAUGGGGAGGGCCAGAGGAGAACAAGGAAUUGCAACCUGAACUCUUGAGUAGAACUGGUUUUAGGUGCUAAGGUUUGAAAUGGCAGGAGGUGGGUGGUUACUGUGUUGGAUCACGAAUUAAGGUGCUGGUUAACCCCCGUGAGACUCACCGACCCCUUCCUAGUGCUGGUAUAAAGCUUUCCCAAGCAGCCAUUAGAAACUGGUUUGAAUAGAACUAGUUAUAGGAAACAAAAAGUUGGGGAUGAAAAAGCAGCUGAACUCUGGAGUAAUGCCAAAGCUUAAACCAGGCAACCGUAUGGUUCUGGGGCAGUGACUUUUACAAUUCCCUGGCUGUGGCAGAGAUCUGGGGUGACGAAGCCUGAUGAGAAUGUGCUUGUUGUGGCUUCCUAACUCUUCACUCCCUCCCAGCAAUGGAAGUGUGUGCCCAGGUACUUUGCCCAUGACUUUGCAAGGCCUACUACAAGCAGAGUAUACAUCCCACUCUAUUGACUCUGGGGCUUGGCCGUGCUUGGACUGAUCAAACAUGGGUGGAAGUGACAGUGUGCGAGUCCAAGCUGGAGCUCCAAGAGACAUCCCAUCAUGGAUUUUCACCAUUACUUUUAAACCUCUUUCUUCUGCGAUGAGAGGAGCGUGCUCCAGCCUGGGUCCUAGAAUGAAGACAUGCAGAGAAGACCUGAAUCCAACCCACAUCUUGAAGCCAAGUCCAGCUGGACUGCAGAACACUGAGCAAAAGCGAUGUAUGUUUGUUGUUGGAAGUAACCGGCAAUUCGGGAUUGUUACAGAUCAUAAUCACAGCGGAGAUAGCUAAUUAAUACAGAUGCUAAGCCUUGGGGGGAAUCUCGAAUAUGAAAUUACAUGCUUGAAAUUAUUGGUAGCUCCCCAAUUACUUCAAGGUAAAAUGAUAUGGAACACAGGCUUUUGUCUACCAACCAGGCCUACAUCUUGUACUUUUCACUUGCUCCCUUGAACUCAGCUGCACUGAAAUACUUGCUUCCUGAAAGCUCCAUGUUCUUUCAUACCUCUUUGCCUUUGCCAUGUGAUUGCUUUUGCCUGAAAAGCCCUUCCCUUCUUUGAUUUCCCAGUUUGGCCCUUAACCCACUUCCUUAGAUCCUAUUCAUUCUCUGGUCUUAGCUUUGCUGGUGAAUUCCCUGGGAAGCCCCAGAUGAUAACGGAAGACUGGACUGGGUUAUAUACCCAUCCUUUCCCUCCCUGCAACAGAAGUGUGCAAAAGAGAGUUCAUGAAACCUAUUUUGCUCUCUUUUUCAUUAGGUAGAGAUCCUACCUAAUGAAUCCCUAGAGAGAAGGGAUUUGUCUGGUUCAUCUCUACAUUCUGUGCCGGGACAGUGCCUGCCUCAGUGAGUGCUCAGAAAGUGUCUUCUGAAUCCAUCCUAAGGAUGAGAUAUCUCAUGUUCAGAGAAGAUAAGUGAGGAAGUGACACAGCCAUGGCCAGAACACAUACAUGCCCAAUUCCGAGUCCCUAGCUCUCAGGCUGGCACCAGGCUGCCUUGUGGAACAUCACCUACACUUGUGUAGUGGGCCAUAGCAACAUUCGUUGUAAGCAAAUUGAUUUUUAACAUUAGCCCGAACUCCGCAUCAUCAGGAAAAUAAAUUUGUUGUGAUUUGCUGCACACCAUGAAAUAUAUUCUAAUGUCACAUAGAAAUGAGUUUCACCUGGUCUACAUUCAAGUCACGUUCUUUUCCAUUAAUGUGAGUCAUCAAGGAUCACUCGGGUCUCUGGGGAGGAAGCCUGGAGUGUCAUGGCUGGGGGAGACCUCAGCGAUCAUAAUACUCAGUUCCUUCGUGUUCAGAUGAAAGAGUCUAGAAAGAUCUAGAGAGCUUUCACAACUUCGCCAAGACACCCAGUUUCAAAGAAGCAUACAAGAAAUCAAGUACCCCAGUUCCUAGUCCAGUGGUAUUUUUUGGCACACCUAGGCAAAUACCCAGUCUUUUUUGGUUUUUAUUUUGGCCUUUAUCAUUUGAAAGUGUUUCUGGCAUUUAUCAUUUGAAAGUGUCUCAGUCUAGGGCGCCUGGGUGGCUCAGUUGUUAAGCGUCUGCCUUCGGCUCAGGUCAUGAUCCCAGGGUCCUGGGAUCGAGUCCCAUAUCAGGCUCCCUGCUCCGCGGGAGGCCUGCUUCUCCCUCUCCUACUCCCCCUGCUUGUGUUCCUGCUUUCACUAUGUCUCUCUCUGUCAAAUAAAUAAAUAAAAUCUUUAAAAAAAAAAAAAAAAGAAAGUGUCUCAGUCUAGCUGACCUCCUUCCCUGAAGUGGCCAGAGACUGGCCUGGACAAUCUGCCAUUUUCUUUUUCUCUGUGGUGUUACAGUGUCGUAUGAGAUGCUCUUCUGUGGGAAAGGGAAGGAGCAGACACAGAGCUGGUGUAUCCUAAAGUUCAGCUCUU